rnacentral:rRNA from 1 species
CCUACGGGAGGCUGCAGUGGGGAAUAUUGGACAAUGGGCGAAAGCCUGAUCCAGCCAUGCCGCGUGUGUGAAGAAGGCCUUCGGGUUGUAAAGCACUUUCAGUGGGGAAGAAAGCCUUGGGGCUAAUACCCUCGAGGAAGGACAUCACCCACAGAAGAAGCACCGGCUAACUCCGUGCCAGCAGCCGCGGUAAUACGGAGGGUGCGAGCGUUAAUCGGAAUUACUGGGCGUAAAGCGCGCGUAGGCGGUCUGAUAAGCCGGUUGUGAAAGCCCCGGGCUCAACCUGGGAACGGCAUCCGGAACUGUCAGGCUAGAGUGCAGGAGAGGAAGGGAGAAUUCCCGGUGUAGCGGGGAAAUGCGUAGAGAUCGGGAGGAAUACCAGUGGCGAAGGCGGCCUUCUGGACUGACACUGACGCUGAGGUGCGAAAGCGUGGGUAGCAAACAGGAUUAGAUACCCUAGUAGUC